rnacentral:rRNA from 1 species
AUUGAACGCUAGCGGGAUGCUUUACACAUGCAAGUCGAACGAGUGGCGGACGGGUGAGUAAUGUCUGGGAAACUGCCUGAUGGAGGGGGAUAACUACUGGAAACGGUAGCUAAUACCGCAUACCAUCGGAUGUGCCCAGAGGGGAUUAGCUAGUAGGUGAGGUAAUGGCUCACCUAGGCGACGAUCCCUAGCUGGUCUGAGAGGAUGAACAGCCACACUGGGAAUGCGACACGGCCCAGACUCCUACGGUAGGCAGCAGUGGGGAAUAUUGCACAAUGGGCGCAAGCCUGAUGCAGCCAUGCCGCGUGUAUGAAGAAGGCCCUAGGGUUGUAAAGUACUUUCAGUCGGGAGGCGUUACCGACAGAAGAAGCACCGGCUAACUACGUGCCAGCCGCCGCGGUAAUUC